rnacentral:rRNA from 1 species
AACGAACGCUGGCGGCAUGCCUAACACAUGCAAGUCGAACGAGACCUCCGGGUGUAUUCACUCGCGGGUUCGUAACGGGUCGGAAGCGUCCCUUGGGUGCGGAAUAACUCCGCGAAAGGGGUACUAAUGGGGGACAGUGUCUACUGACCAAAACUUUAUCUCCCUUGGAUGUGCCCGCGUUGGAUUAGCUAGUUGGUAUUGUAAAAGCCCACCAAGGCUACGAUCCAUAGCUGGGCUGAGAGGCUGAUCAGCCACACUGGGAACGAGACACGGCCCCGACUCCUACGCGAGGGAGCAGUGGGGAAUAUUGGACGAUGGGCGAAAGCGUGAUGCAGCAAUGCCGCGUGAGUGAUGAAGGGCUUAGGGUUGUAAAGCUCUUUUACCAGGGAUGAUAAUGACAGUACCGGCAGAAUAAGCUCCGGCUAACUCCGUG